rnacentral:lncRNA from 1 species
GAAGAGAUGUUACAGCUGUGGUGCUGGUCUGUAUUUAUCGGUUUCCCCUUGUGUGGUUAAUUGAUCAUCAGUGAAAGAGAUGUUACAGCUGUGGUGUUGGUCUGGGUUUAUCGGUUUCCCCUUGUGUGGUUAAUCAAUAAUCAGCAGAAGAGGUGUUACAGCUAUGUGUUACAGUAUUUAUCAGUUUCCCCUUGUGUGGUCUCUGUAUAGAAUCUCUCAGCCACUCAGCUGCAGGCUUUGGGCCCUGACAACGCUGCCAUGGUAACGGAGGCUCAGAAGUCAGCCAUGAACGACUUGCAGAAAAAGGCGCUUGCGGAUGUCUUGGGGGUGCAGUUCACCCCUCGGGCACAGACCACAACCACUCCUGCAACAGUCACCCCCCUGCCUCAGAAAGCCGGAGCCUCCGGACUCCGAAUGCUGGGAAGUCUGGUCCUCCUCCAGCCUCUCAUGUUGCUGCUAGCACUGGGAGUCUGAGCACCCCAAAACUCUCACUCUUCCUACGCUUCUUCAGCAGCCCCAAAACCUAUCAAGAUCUCUAGUAUUGCCCAUGCAACCCCACUACAUCACCUUCACUUCUCUAAAAC